CAAGAGCUUAUUUCACUCCCUAACU
rnacentral:tRNA from 7 species